GGUAGGGUGGCUGAGGAAAGCAUUAGACUGUAAAUCUAAGCAUAAAGGUAUGUAAUCCUUUCUCUACCA
rnacentral:tRNA from 1 species